CUUAAAAAUAAUACUCAUCUCACACAAGGAACUACGAGUAAUUUAAAUCUCUACAAUACUAUUAAUCGGCAAAAAAUAUGCCGGGAUUCUUUUUUGUUUUUUUGGCUACAACCCAAAUUAGUUCUCAACACCAAAAUCGGAGAAGGCGGGAUAGCGGCACUCACCGUUUGCUGCUUGAGGGCUAGAAAGCUCGGCCAUGGUGUAUUAGGGCUAGGGUUAAGGUUUCUCCUGUAGCGAGUGAUCCAUCCCAUUCUCAGGCUGUAAGAGAAAAGGGAAGACGCCGAGGCGCAGCGCUUGCUCGGCCAAUGUCGUUGUCGUCCAUCGAGAUGGGAAACCCCUCCUCAAUUGGACGGUCGAUUCAAAAAUCGGUUGCCGCUUGGUGGAUUGCCGUGGAGGAGACCUGUCUCUGCGUGAGAAAAGAUUCUUUUGUUGUUUUUUUUGGGAAUUAUUUGUGAGGUCUUUGUAAUGGUUGUCUCCCAUUCUGUUGCCAUUCCACUAUGUUGCAUGCGUUGACAAGUACAAACAGAUAUAAAAGAAAUGAUGAAGACUGACGAAGCCAAAAGAGUUCAGUUAUCCAAUCAUUUUUGGUAUUGAAAUUGAACUUUUCGAAUUCUGGCAAUCCUUAUCUACCGGAUUGCGCCGUAAGAUUCAAUGCUUUAUAUGCCCUGUUGCACAAUGGCAACCACUCCAGAUUAGCCUGUCCAGGAAAGCUCGCACCCUGUUGCUUUGCCAACAACAGUUCUCGAAAUUCCUGAGCCAUAGCUUUAAUCCGCAGCUCAUACCCAUCAUAUCAUUCAUAUCAACAACUUGCAAGCUUGACAACUGGAACAGAAUGGACAGCAUCCAAAGCGAACGUCCACAGUCAAAAAGCAAAAGAAGAAUGGUGGUAUUUCAGCUAUCAUACGAAUGCAGCCAUGGCCACGAAUAUUCCUGUUAUUUUCCACUGGAACCGAGCAAACAAAGAUGUAGGUGCGAAUAUGCUGAGGCGUUUGUGCAUGUGAAGCCCACUUGAUGGGAAAAGGACAUGCACCAGUUAACUACACUUGCCGGAGCAGUGAGAGCAGAGGAAGAGAUGUUAUGGAUGCUGAGGUCAGUGAGCACUCGGCAAAGGGUGGUCUGUUGCUGCUUGGGAUUUGAGCCAUGUCUCUCUGGCUUCUCCUUCAGAGGGGUUUGUGAGUGCAUGGUCUCUCUCUCUCUCUCUCUCUCUCUCUCUCUCUCUCUCUGUCUCUCCCCACCUUUCUUGCAUGCAUUGCUCGGCCAACCCCAUCAUUCCAUCGGAGAAAGGAGCCGAGGGGGAUUCUUGGCUUUUGGUGUUUGGUGGUGGGGGAGGGGGAGUCCACAAUAUGAGGAGAAAAUGAAGCAGGGAGGAGGAGGUGCCAUGUCCUUUCCUCCCCUUUGAUCCUUGAUACAUCUUAUCAUAUCCGUCUGGUCAAGAUCGUGUGACCCUCUGCGUGGGCCACUCAACUUGUGUUGUCGUCGAGCAGGGGCCCUGGGUUAUCAUGGGCCAGUUGAUUGAGAUUCCUCACUCUUCUUGGUGCCCUCACUUUUGUAUCAAUGAUGUGACCUUGAUACUCUGAAAGUUAAAGAUUAUCAUUUCAUUGAAACUGUAUUAAUCCAAGUGCCCUCACUUUUUAGCACCGGCCUGUUUCAAAUUUGUUGUAAUGCAUGAAACUUUUGGUUUAUGAUGAGUAGAGGCCAAGAACUCAUCAAAUUGAUAAGUGAUGAAAUCUCCGAA